GACGAACGCUGGCGGCGUGCUUAACACAUGCAAGUCGAACGGUGAAGCGCCUUCCUUUUUGGUGGGUGUGGAUGAGUGGCGAACGGGUGAGUAACACGUGAGUAACCUGCCCCCUUCUUCUGGAUAACCGCAUGAAAGUGUGGCUAAUACGGGAUAUUCUGGGUCUGUCGCAUGAUGGGUCUGGGAAAGAUAUUGUUUCGGUGGGGGAUGGGCUCGCGGCCUAUCAGCUUGUUGGUGGGGUGAUGGCCUACCAAGGCGGUGACGGGUAGCCGGCCUGAGAGGGUGGACGGUCACACUGGGACUGAGAGACGGCCCAGACUCCUACGGGAGGCAGCAGUGGGGAAUAUGGCACAAUGGGCGGAAGCCUGAUGCAGCGACGCCGCGUGAGGGAUGGAGGCCUGCGGGUUGUGAACCUCUUUCGCCAGUGAAGCAGGCCUGCCUCGUUUGUGGGUGGGUUGACGGUAGCUGGAUAAGAAGCGCCGGCUAACUACGUG
rnacentral:rRNA from 1 species